rnacentral:tRNA from 1 species
AGCCCCGUAGUGUAGUGGUCAAUCAUGCCGGCCUUUGGAGCCGGCGACGGCAGUUCGAAUCUGCCCGGGGCUA